GUUAACGUGUCCCGCGAGCGAGGCGCGUCGCAAAAGGUCGCGGCGGAACUUCCCUGCGCUUUUCAGACCAUACGCUUUACGGUACUAGGCAUUGCUGAGCUGGGAGAUGUCGGCGGCGUGUUGGGAGGAACCGUGGGGUCCUCCCGGCGGCUUUGCGAAGCGGGUCCUGGUGACCGGCGGUGCUGGUUUCAUGUAGGUAAUGGCGCCGCUAGCCAAGCAGUGGCUCCCCAGAAACCCCUACCUUUUCCCGCAGCUCUGCUUGCCCUAGUGCAUCACAUAUGAUUGUCUCUUUAGUGGAAGAUUAUCCAAACUAUAUGAUCAUAAAUCUAGACAAGCUGGAUUACUGUGCAAGCUUGAAGAAUCUUGAAACCAUUUCUAACAAACAGAACUACAAAUUUAUACAGGGUGACAUAUGUGAUUCUCACUUUGUGAAACUGCUUUUUGAAACAGAGAAAAUAGAUAUAGUACUACAUUUUGCCGCACAAACACAUGUAGAUCUUUCAUUUGUACAUGCCUUUGAGUUUACCUAUGUUAAUGUUUAUGGCACUCACGUUUUGGUAAGUGCUGCUCAUGAAGCCAGAGUGGAGAAGUUUAUUUACGUCAGCACAGAUGAAGUAUAUGGUGGCAGUCUUGAUAAGGAAUUUGAUGAAUCUUCACCCAAACAACCUACAAAUCCUUAUGCAUCAUCUAAAGCAGCUGCUGAAUGUUUUGUACAGUCUUACUGGGAACAAUAUAAGUUUCCAGUUGUUAUCACAAGAAGCAGUAAUGUUUAUGGACCACAUCAAUAUCCAGAAAAGGUUAUUCCAAAAUUUAUAUCUUUGCUACAGCACAACAGGAAAUG
rnacentral:sRNA from 1 species